rnacentral:sRNA from 2 species
UCCCUGCUCAAGGGGGAGUAGUCGCUAUCGGGAGCCAUCCCGAAGACGGUCGUCAACAUAGUUGGUGCACAAUCACCAUGGUGGCCGUGACCUUAGCGGGUUUGACGAGACCUUUGACAGACGAGUGCCGAUACCGGGGACGGGCGGCAGACGUCUGCUCAUUGGUAACAAUAA